UUAACUGACCUCGCUCUCCCGCAGCUUCUGAAUCUUUCCCGCUCAAAGUAAACCUGUUCGGGAUUGGCUCUAAUUGGCAAGCAACAGCUCUAUGAUUGGCUAAUAGGGCAGCGGAGGGGCGGGGCGUGGAAGGUAAGGAAAGAGAGCAGGCCUACCCCGUGGGAGAAGCGGUGGAGGUGGUCGGAAGAUUUGAGAAGUCGCCCAGCAACUGGCUGAUAAUCUAAACCUAUCGCUGCGCACCUUGUGCCAACAUUUCAUUUUUGGCCCUUGGGCCCUUCCCUAACUCCCAGAGUCCUUUGGAACAGCCAAGAGAAUAAUAGACGUGCCCGUUUACAGAAGAACUGCACAAGGAACUAUGGACCCAGCAAAAGGAACAGAGAGAUGCUCAGUAGCUUCUUUCUCCAAAUGUGGGGCCUUCCUUCUUAAGGACGAGAGAACAUCGGAUUGAUAGCUCCACCAAACUGAGAGCGUGCUUACGCUUCACAUGGUGGCUGGCUUCCGAGACGCCAAAGUGGAAGCUGUGGCGGGCCUCCUAAAACCUACACCUGAACCGUCAGGACAUCAGUUUUACUGCAUCCUAUUGAUCAAGGCAAGUCAAAGGCCACCCAGAUUCAAGGAGAGUGAAAACUAGAUGAAAGGCUCCGAAUGGAGAAGGCAUUUCUUUGCAGACCGUCCACCACAUUCCCCUCCCUGUGCUCCCCUUUGUUCCCCCUGGCUCACUGAAAGGCACUGUCCUCCUCCCUGGGCUGUCAUCCUUCACCCCUGCUUCUAAUCUGUGCCCGGGUGCUGUUGUUUCUGCUUCCGAAGCAUCUUUCAAAUCAUUCCCACCACCACUACUGUCCUCUCUUACCUAGAAUGUGCAAUAGCUUCCUAGAAGUUCUCCGUUUUCCACUCUUGCUUCGUUACCAUGUUGCUUUCCACACUGCAGACAGAGAGAUUACCUAUGGGGGGCUGGUGAAGUGGGGGACGGACGAGCCAGGGAGACCUGUGCUUCGUGAUACACCUUUUGGUACCAUGCGCGUACCUUUCCAAAAACUAAAAUGCCUUUAAAAAGAAAAAUUUUUUUAAUGUUUAUUUAUUUUGAGAGAGAGAGAGAGAGAGAGAGAGAAAGCAUGAGCUGGGGAUGGGCAGAGAGAGAGGGAGACGCAGAAUCCCAAGUAGGCUCCAGGCUCUGAGCUGUUAACACAGACCCCGAUGCGGGGCUUGAACUCACGAACCAUAAGAUCUUGACCUGAGCCAAAGCUGGACGCUCAACCCACUGAGCCACCCAGGUGCCCCUAAAAUGCCUUUUAAAAAUGGAUUCAGGGGGCGCCUGGCUGGCUCAGCCAAUAGAGCGUGGAAUUCUUAAUCUCAAGGUCAUGGGUUCGAGCCCCACAUGGGUAUAGAGAUUACUUAAAUAAAUAAAACUGAAAAACAAACAAACUUUAAAAAAAAGAACUGGAUGGGGGGUGCAUGCGUGGCUCAGUCGGUUAAGCGUCCAACUUCGGCUCAGGUCAUGAUCUCACAGUUUAUGAGUUUGAGCCCCUCAUGAGGUUCCACACUGACAAUGUGGAGCCUGCUUGCGAUUCUCUCUCUCCUUCUCUCUCUCUGCCCCUCCCCUGCUGGUGCACUCUCUCCCUCUCUCUCAAAUAAAUAAACUUAAAAAAAAUUUUUAAUAAAUAAAAAUUAAAAGAACUGAAAGACUUUAAAAAAAUCGGUUCAAAGUCAAAUUUAUUAAUAGACAAAAGAAACCAAAUCCUCACUGUGUCAUUUUUCUCCUGAAAACCCCUCGGUGACGGCCCACAACACCUUCAAGUUUAGAUUCCUUAGCAGAGCUCACAAAGCCCUUCAGCAUCUGCCCCACCUAGCCCCCACAGCCUCACCCCUUCCCACUUUGCACUCUGCGCUCCAGCUGAGCGGAACAUCUCUGACCUUCCUGCAGUUCCUUGAAAGCACCAUUUCCUCUUUUGCCUUGCAGGUUUUACACAGGCGGCUGCUCACAACACUCUAUUCAUCAUUCAGGUCUCCGCUUAGAUAUUGUUUCCUCCAGGAAGUCUUCCGUGGUCCAUAAAGUUGGGGUUUGACGCCUCUUCUGUGAAUUCCCAUAGCACCCUAGACUUGACUAGCACUGUGCUCAUCACGCUGUGUUGUAAUUACCUGGGGUUUCCCCUCGCCCUCCCACUAGAACAUACCCUUCCAAAGGAACAGGAACCAAAUUCUGCAUUGCUCACUGCUGCUUCGCUAGCACCUUUGCAAAGAAUGUCUCACAUGGGUGUAGGCAGGCCGCCAUCCCUCAGAUUGAUUGACUGAUAAACCCUCCAGAAGGCAGGGACAAGAUCAGUGCUCAAACCUACAGCUCAAGCUCUCAACUCCUGUCUGAAUGUCAGGACCACAUCUCCAAAUGCUUACCGGAUAUCUUCUGCUUGAAGUAAAUGCGUUCAAAACUGAGUUUAUUACCUUCUUGUAAUAAACAGAGAAAAUCAUGCUCA